CCCUUAUCAAUAGCUCAGUUGGUUAAAACAUGGUGCUGAUAAUGCCAAGGUUGCAGGUUCAACCUCUGUAUAGGACA